GAAUCAUGAACACUAGGCUGGAAACCAAUCUAAAGAACAACAACCUGAAAACGUGCAUACCAGGCACGAGGAGACUGUUUCAAACCUUAGAGAGACGACGUAAGCGACAGAUAAGGCUUGGAGGAGGAGGUACGCAUAUAAACCUCGCAGACAAUACCCAUUAAGGAAAGCGUUCUCCACGUAUAAUUGAUAGAGUUGACCCACUAAUGCACGCAGCAACAGAAAUAAAGUGCGAAACAAUAGUCAUCUUGGCGUACAAGAGCAAAGGUCCUCCCUAGUAUCUAUCAAAUACUCUUGAGGAAAGCCAUGGAGCCACUAAGCAGGGUUUAUAAAACUCUAAAAAAAAAACCAUCAGAAUGAGUCUUCACCUUGUUAGACCAUUUGCAGCCGAUAAGAUUGUUCCAUCGGGAGUGAAGUGAACUCCCAAGUUGUGAGUUUUUUAGCAAAGUAGUUCGUGAGCUCAUCAUUCAUGGCAUCCCACUUAAGUGGAGGAUAGUUACAACUUUCUUUAUCUGACCUAGCUCAAAGAAAUAGGAUGCGAGAGUAAAAAGAAUGAUAAGACGAUGAAAACAAGUGUUGUUAUAUAAAAAUCAGGAUGACGAGGAGAAGGUAGGAUUCUGACUAGCGGGCAGAUCAGGGUUCUCAGAGUCCAAUGAAAGAGCUGAAAGAUGGAAUCAGAUAAGCUGCAUGACGACGAGAGUAUACUAGGGGAGCUGGAGGAAUUAGAGAGGGCAAAGAGGAAGUAGCAGGUGGAGAUGGUUAUGCCGGAUGGCAAUCAAUAGUAAACCAAAAUAAAUUGAUAGUAACAAGAGGUAGAAUGGGGAGGGGGAAGUUCGGCUUCCGCCAGACUCAAAAAGAAGGGGAGGGGAAAGGUUCGGCUUCGCCAGAAUAAUUCAAAGUGGAAUGGAAGAAAAGAAAAACCAUCGUUUUCUUUAUUUCAUACUCAUAAUAUGCCUUACCAAAUUGAAACUAAAGUCUCUUUAAAUAGAGAAAAAACCUAACCCUAAACGAAAUAAAUAAACACAAUGGGCUACUACUAAUCAGGCCCAAUGGCCAAAUAUUCGAAAACAGCGAAAAACCCUAUUGAAAAAGGAAACAAUUAAGUAUAAAAAUUAUUAAAAGACAAGAAUUAAGAAAUAAACAAAUAUAAUUUUGUACCGCAUCAUCUCUCCAUUGAGAAGAACCGCCUCGAAUUAAAUUCGGAAUACUGAAUUCGUUCAGCCAAAGAAAUCAAGUAAUUGAAAUAAAUCAAAACCACUCGCAUGGCUCUCAAAUUUCAAUUCUUCCGUCCGAACUCCAAAUAAACGACCAUCUUCAAAUGUUGACGAGAUCUACGAAAUAUGGAGGCAAGACGCAAAGAAAGUUGUCAGCACCAAUCAAAUCGAUUCUUCAACCUUUGGUACCCUUGCAGCCAUUUUGAACAUUCACAAACCUUUUCCAAGCAAUCUUCGCCUCCAGGGGAAAGUAUUGAAAAAUAAUAGCAGCUUUUGAAGACGCCAUAUAAGAAGAAUAGGCCUGGUGAAGGACGCCAAUGCGUCUGGAUGAUGAUUGCCCGCAUUUGUUUAUCUCUUUGAACCGUUGCACCCUCUUUAUUUUAACAUUACGCAAGUCUUUGUAUUGUGCUUUUGUCACCCAUAAUAGUCUUAUUAGUCAGACUCUUCUUUCACUCAAAAUCACAACACCAAUAAAAAAAACUCAAAUAGGGAGGACUUUAGCCCACCGUUUUCUCGAAUCAAGACCAAGAACUUUGCAUAGUGAAUUGUACUGUUCUUCAAAGAUCCAACACAGGAUGCAGGCGAUCAUCCUUGCUUGUGAACGGUCUCGAAGAUCGCUAUGCAACUGUCCAAGCUUUCUAAUAGACAAAUCAGAUUCAUCACAGUUAUGCUAGAUGGUUGGGGUCUUCAGAAUCAAGAUAUAACUCAUUUGAAAUUUUCUCAUCGCGCAAAGAAAUUCAACAAACUGAUUCCUUCUCUUGCAUCGUAUCUAAAUUUCUCUUCUGCUGAUAGGAAUGAGGAAUGUAUUUAAUACUCAAGAUUUCCUAUCAUCUCACUCCAAUCAAAGAUGGGAGGUUGCUGUCGUUGAGACUCUCGGUAUGCAAAAGAAUGUGGACUCGGCUAAUAAUGUAAUUUAGCAAAUACGAACUUUCGUAUCCAUCAGAAACUUGUGAUAAUUCAAAAAAAGGUCCAUCUCAUAACCCAAUCAAGGAAAGGCUUUUGGAUCGGGGGCGCCAUCAAAAGGUAGGAAUUUCAUCUGGAUAUUGAAUCCAAAAAGUCUAAAUGAUUACAAUUAUAAACUACCAACUAUAAUUUUAGAAAAAUCUUCACUAAUUUAACAUUUCCAAGAAUUAAUUCCACUGAUCUGAAAUUUCUAAAAUGUUUACCCACUGAUCUGGAAUUUCUAAUAAAAUUUCCCACUGAUCUGAAAUUUUCAAAAAAAUUUCCCACUGAACAUGAAUUUCGGAAAAAUUUUUUCACUGAUCUGCAAUUUCUAAAAAUUUCCC
rnacentral:lncRNA from 1 species